rnacentral:misc_RNA from 1 species
AUGAGUAAAAUCAAGCCAACAGCCUAACACUACACCCACCAGCAACAUCAAUACCCAUAGAGAUAUAUGAUUACAUGUACUACAUGUGCAAGUAGCUCUACUAAAUUACAUAAGAGGAAAACAAGCAGCUGCCAAGAAAUGUGUGAGACUAAGAGAGAGAACGAAAGAGACAAAGAGUACUCGGGUUUUUCAUCUUCGGAG